GCCGUCGUGGCGCAAUGGCAGCGCAUCACCUUCCUACAAUGACAGUGGUGGCAGGUGGGGGUUGCGGGUUCGACCCCCGUCGACGGUA